AUUCUUCAACUCCUAAGCGUGAUGUAUGUGUGUUCAUGCCAUGGUGUGACAUACGCCUCCCUCAAGCCUUAUUAGGACAUUAGCACAUUACCCAUCCAAGA
ensembl:snoRNA